GACAGAGGGUGCAAGCGUUGUUCGGAAUUACUGGGCGUAAAGCGAGUGUAGGCGGUUUGGUAAGUCGGAUGUGAAAGCCCCGGGCUCAACCCGGGAAGUGCACUCGAUACUGCCAGGCUAGAGUAUCGGAGAGGUUGGUGGAAUUCUCGGUGUAGAGGUGAAAUUCGUAGAUAUCGAGAGGAACACCGGUGGCGAAGGCGGCCAACUGGACGAAUACUGACGCUGAGACUCGAAAGCGUGGGGAGCAAACAGG
rnacentral:rRNA from 1 species